UACGGAGGAUUCAAGCGUUAUCCGGAUUCAUUGGGUUUAAAGGGUGCGUAGGCGGAAUGGUAAGUCAGAGGUGAAAGCCUGCAGCUUAACUGCAGAAUUGCCUUUGAUACUGCCAAUCUUGAGUACAUUUGAAGUGGGCGGAAUGUGUCAUGUAGCGGUGAAAUGCUUAGAUAUGACCCAGAACACCGAUUGCGAAGGCAGCUCACUAAACUGUAACUGACGCUGAGGCACGAAAGCGUGGGAUCAAACAGG
rnacentral:rRNA from 1 species